GUGUCUGCUUUGUAUAAUUUUUUAAUUUGAUUCAGAAAAAGUGUUAGAUGUGACUCGAAAUUGAUUAUUAACUCAAGUUCGGAUUUUCAACUCAUCAACAGCUUCGCGGUGCGACCAAAUUAGAGAACAAUUUUGUGAAGGAAAAAUAAAUGUUAGUGGUACAGAUUGGAUCCGAAAUUCGUUAUGAGUUUUUUUUUCGUUUUUGUCCUAGAGGCGUGAGAUCAUGGUCGGUUGUAAUUAUCUGAACAUUGUAUUUCCUUUUUCGUUCGAUAGUGAAGUUCUCUCCUCCAUCGCCCGUGAUUUUUUCCUGCAAAGAAUUUUUCAUAUAAAUCUGUAUAUUAUUUUUAAUUUCUGUUUAUGAUUUGAGUGUUUCGUAUUCGUCAUUUUAUUUUCGUUUGUGCGUUUGUCGUAAAAAAAAGAAACACAAAAUGAAUAGUUUGGAUCACAUUUUAAU
rnacentral:lncRNA from 1 species